rnacentral:lncRNA from 1 species
AGCUACAUCCGUCACCUGACACGGCCCUACCAGGAACAGCCGCGCUCCCGCGGAUUCUGGUGCUGCUCGCGUCCCCGCUCCCCUAUUCCCCUUAUUUUAUUCCUGGCUCCCCUCGUCGAAAGUCUUCCAUUCUUCAAACUAGAUUAUUUAAAAAUGAAAAAGGAAGAAAGGAAAGCGAGGUCAUCUCAUUGCUCUAUCCGCCAAUCAGGAGGCUGAAUGUCAGUUUUGAACUAAAAGCCGCUCCGCUCCUCUUCUAGAUUUGGAAAACAAGCGAAAUUAAACUAAACCGCUGCACGCCUCUGACGCGACAUCUGGACACGGCGCGGCGCUGGCGCUGCCGGAGCUGUCGACCCGGCCUGGCGCCGGACUAGGACUAUUUGCCACGACAUUUCAAAGGAUUCCAAGAGAGAAUAUUGGUGUCCAUGCUGUGAUGAUUCCUCAGCUCCUCUCAUCUGAUCUCCGUCCUGGCCCCCAUGACUUUCUUUGUGGUAGUUAGGGUGUGGUAUGUGCCACUGAGGCCCACACCUAUUGCUUGUCCCUUUUGAUGAGAAGAAUAAGCCUCAUUCUGAUUCAACAGCAGAGAUCAAAGAAAAGACUUCUGUUUUCUGGCCACCAGAUAUAUGUUAUCUGUGCUUAAAGAAUUGAAAAACACACAUCAAAGGAGAAUUUUCUUGGAAAGAGAGGGUUCAAGCAUCACUGUUAGGUGUGCUGGAAUCCUUUCCCGAGUCAGUACUGCUUUCUAGAAGAAAACCGGGGAGAUCUAUUUGGAAUGUAUCUAACUCCAAAGAAACCAUCAGAGGUAACAGUAGAGACGGGGUUUCACCAUGUUGGCCAGACUGGUCUUGAACUCUCGACCUCGUGAUUCGCCCGCCUCGGCCUCCCAAAGUGCUGGGAUUACAGGUGUGAGACACCACACCCGGCGGAUAGAGAGAAUUUUGACAGGUGGAGAACUUCAGUAGAGGAAGUGGCAGGAAUUUGGGAAUGAGGAGCACAGUGAUUAAACUGGGGCCAUUCAUAUGAGAGUUUAAGAACUCAGACCAGUGACUUAGUAUCUUACAGACAGCAAGUUGAACAUUGUGGGAUGCAUGAGCUAUUGAGGCCUUUGCAGCUUUCUGCUACAUGGAGGCUAGGGCCAGAGUCAAGAUUUAUGCUUUGCAGCACACUGGUCAGCUGUUUUUGCAAAUCAGAUUAAAUGAUUUUUAAAUGAGGCUGAGAGCAUGGGAGAUACUAAUGUGUGUUUCCUUGUGAGCUACUGCAUAAGUUAGGAAAUUGAAAUACAGAAAGAUGAAAAGUGAUUUGCCCAAGCAUAUAGAUCAAAGCUGUGGCAGAACCAGGACUGGAACCUAUAUCUCUCUACUAAUGGUUUUUUUAAAAAAAUAACCUUGUUUCAAAAAUAUUAAAAAGUCACAAGAAAGGUAAACAUGUGGAUAAACAAAAUGAAGAAAAUAAAAAUUAUCCAGUAAUAACAUA